rnacentral:rRNA from 1 species
UAUUGCAACAAGUACGGGGGAAACCCUGAUGCAGCCAUGCCGCGUGUGUGAAAGAAGGGCCUUCGGGGUUAGUAAAGCACUUUCAGGUAGGGGAGGAAGGUAGUGUAGUUAACACCUGCAUUAUUUGACGUUACCUACAGAAGAAGCACCGGCUAACUCCGUGCCAGCAGCCGCGGUAAUACGGGAGGGGUGCGAGCGUUAAUCGGAAUUACUGGGCGUAAAGCGCAUGCAGGCGGCCUGUUAAGUCAGAUGUGAAAGCCCGGGGCUUAACCUCGGAAUUGCAUUUGAAACUGGCAGGCUAGAGUCUUGUAGAGGGGGGUAGGAAUUUCAGGUGUAGCGGUGAAAUGCGUAGAGAUCUGAAGGAAUACCAGUGGCGAAGGCGGCCCCCUGGACAAAGACUGACGCUCAGAUGCGAAAGCGUGGGGAGCAAACAGGAUUAGAUACCCUGGUAG